UCAUUUCGACCUCCAAUACCAAAGACAUACUUCGAGGAGCUAGAAAUCAAACCUUAUAAGACGACAAAAUCUAUAAAGUAGUCUAACUUCAUUCCAACCCAAAAGUUAUCCACCUAAAAUGAGCUCGGAAAUUGCAAGGCCCCUAAAAAAGAGCUCAAAGUCUUGAAGACUUCCUAAAACGAAGCUUUCAUACUCUAAAAUACAAAUAAUCCAACGGACGAAAUUGAACUCGGUUUGUUGUAUGUAUCAAGAACCAACAACUUACCGGAAUUGAAAUCCGAUCGAAUUGAGCUGAAAGUUGAGACGAAAAUGGAUGGACAAGAAGGCAAGAGGAUGUGAAUCGUUGAACACAAAAAGAAAAAGAAGAUGAAGAGAGUGAGAAGAAACGAUGAAAGAGGAGAAAUCGAUAAGAGGACAACGGAAUCGGGA
rnacentral:misc_RNA from 1 species